CAGUCGCCGCGGGAAUACGGAGGGUGCAAGCGUUAAUCGGAAUUACUGGGCGUAAAGCGUGCGUAGGCGGUUCGUUAAGUCUGUUGUGAAAGCCCCGGGCUCAACCUGGGAAUGGCAAUGGAUACUGGCGAGCUAGAGUGUGUCAGAGGAUGGUGGAAUUCUCGGUGUAGCGGUGAAAUGCGUAGAGAUCGGGAGGAACAUCAGUGGCGAAGGCGGCCAUCUGGGACAACACUGACGCUGAGGCACGAAAGCGUGGGGAGCAAACAGGAUUAGAUACCCCCGUAGUCCCUGUCUCUUAUAC
rnacentral:rRNA from 1 species